rnacentral:rRNA from 1 species
GACGUAGGGGGCGAGCGUUGUCCGGAUUUAUUGGGCGUAAAGCGUGCGCAGGCGGUUUUGUAAGCCAGAUGUGAAAUCCCCGGGCUCAACCUGGGAAUGGCAUUUGGGACUGCAAGGCUUGAGUGCGGCAGAGGAGACUGGAAUUCCUGGUGUAGCAGUGAAAUGCGUAGAUAUCAGGAGGAAUACCGAUGGCGAAGGCAGGUCUCUGGGCUGACACUGACGCUCAUGCACGAAAGCGUGGGGAGCAAACAGG